rnacentral:lncRNA from 1 species
UGAUAGGCAUAUUUUAAGGAAAGAUAACCUGAUGUAUAGUACUUCAAGAGUAACUUAUCUUCAUUAUGCUUAUGGAGAAUGAUGAUUUUGCUAAUGUGUGGAAGGAAAGUAGGAUAGAAGGUCUGCAAAUUAAUAGGUAACUUCAUUUGGGAAUUAGAAAUGUAAUCUUGCACUCUAGUUUAUGGAUGAAAAGAUAUGGCAUUUGAU